AGAGCGAACGCUGGCGGCAGGCCUAACACAUGCAAGUCGAACGGACCCUUCGGGGUUAGUGGCGGACGGGUGAGUAACACGUGGGAACGUGCCUUUUGGUUCGGAAUAGCUCCUGGAAACGGGUGGUAAUGCCGAAUGUGCCCUUCGGGGGAAAGAUUUAUCGCCAUUAGAGCGGCCCGCGUCUGAUUAGCUAGUUGGUGAGGUAAUGGCUCACCAAGGCGACGAUCAGUAGCUGGUCUGAGAGGAUGACCAGCCACAUUGGGACUGAGACACGGCCCAAACUCCUACGGGAGGCAGCAGGUGGGGAAUCGUUGCGCAAGUGGGCGAAAGCCUAGGACGCAGCCAUGCCGCGUGAAUGAUGAAGGUCUUAGGAUUAGUUAAAAUUCUUUACGACGGGUCGAUAAUGACGGUACCCGGAGAAGAACGCCCGACUUAACUUCGUGCCAGCACGCCGA
rnacentral:rRNA from 1 species